rnacentral:rRNA from 1 species
GAACGCUGGCGGCGUGCUUAACACAUGCAAGUCGAGCGAAGCGCUUAAGUUUGAUUCUUCGGAUGAAGACUUUUGUGACUGAGCGGCGGACGGGUGAGUAACGCGUGGGUAACCUGCCUCAUACAGGGGGAUAACAGUUAGAAAUGACUGCUAAUACCGCAUAAGACCACAGGGUCGCAUGACCCGGUGGUAAAAACUCCGGUGGUAUGAGAUGGACCCGCGUCUGAUUAGCUAGUUGGUGGGGUAACGGCUCACCAAGGCGACGAUCAGUAGCCGACCUGAGAGGGUGACCGGCCACAUUGGGACUGAGACACGGCCCAAACUCCUACGGGAGGCAGCAGUGGGGAAUAUUGCACAAUGGGGGAAACCCUGAUGCAGCGACGCCGCGUGAAGGAUGAAGUAUUUCGGUAUGUAAACUUCUAUCAGCAGGGAAGAAAAUGACGGUACCUGACUAAGAAGCCCCGGCUAACUACGUGCCAGCAGCCGCGGUAAUACGUAGGGGGCAAGCGUUAUCCGGAUUUACUGGGUGUAAAGGGAGCGUAGACGGAUGUGCAAGUCUGAAGUGAAAGCCCGGGGCUCAACCCCGGGACUGCUUUGGAAACUGUGUAUCUAGAGUGCCGGAGAGGUAAGCGGAAUUCCCAGUGUAGCGGUGAAAUGCGUAGAUAUUGGGAGGAACACCAGUGGCGAAGGCGGCUUACUGGACGGUAACUGACGUUGAGGCUCGAAAGCGUGGGGGAGCAAACAGGAUUAGAUACCCUGGUAGUCCACGCCGUAAACGAUGACUACUAGGUGUCGGGUGUCACAGACAUUCGGUGCCGCAGCUAACGCAAUAAGUAGUCCACCUGGGGAGUACGUUCGCAAGAAUGAAACUCAAAGGAAUUGACGGGGACCCGCACAAGCGGUGGAGCAUGUGGUUUAAUUCGAAGCAACGCGAAGAACCUUACCUGGUCUUGACAUCCCACUGACCGGACAGUAAUGUGUCCUUUUCUUCGGAACAGUGGAGACAGGUGGUGCAUGGUUGUCGUCAGCUCGUGUCGUGAGAUGUUGGGUUAAGUCCCGCAACGAGCGCAACCCCUAUCUUCAGUAGCCAGCAUUUCAGGUGGGCACUCUGGAGAGACUGCCAGGGAUAACCUGGAGGAAGGUGGGGAUGACGUCAAAUCAUCAUGCCCCUUAUGACCAGGGCUACACACGUCCUACAAUGGCGUAAACAAAGGGAAGCAGAACUGUGAGGUCGAGCAAAUCCCAAAAAUAACGUCUCAGUUCGGAUUGUAGUCUGCAACUCGACUACAUGAAGCUGGAAUCGCUAGUAAUCGCGAAUCAGCAUGUCGCGGUGAAUACGUUCCCGGGUCUUGUACACACCGCCCGUCACACCAUGGGAGCCGGAAAUGCCCGAAGUCAGUGACCCAACCGAAAGGAGGGAGCUGCCGAAGGUGGAGCCGGUAACUGG